UCCAGACUCCUACGGGAGGCAGCAGUGGGGAAUAUUGCAUAAUGGGGGAAACCCUGAUGCAGCGACGCCGCGUGAGUGAAGAAGUAUUUCGGUAUGUAAAGCUCUAUCAGCAGGGAAGAAAAUGACGGUACCUGACUAAGAAGCCCCGGCUAACUACGUGCCAGCAGCCGCGGUAAUACGUAGGGGGCAAGCGUUAUCCGGAUUUACUGGGUGUAAAGGGAGCGUAGACGGCAUGGCAAGUCAGAUGUGAAAGGCCGGGGCUCAACCCCGGGACUGCAUUUGAAACUGUCAGGCUGGAGUGCAGGAGAGGUAAGUGGAAUUCCUAGUGUAGCGGUGAAAUGCGUAGAUAUUAGGAGGAACACCAGUGGCGAAGGCGGCUUACUGGACUGUAACUGACGUUGAGGCUCGAAAGCGUGGGGAGCAAACAGGAUUAGAUACCCGCGUACC
rnacentral:rRNA from 1 species